rnacentral:rRNA from 1 species
GAUGAACGCUGGCGGCGUGCCUAAUACAUGCAAGUCGAGCGAACGGACGAGAAGCUUGCUUCUCUGAUGUUAGCGGCGGACGGGUGAGUAACACGUGGAUAACCUACCUAUAAGACUGGGAUAACUUCGGGAAACCGGAGCUAAUACCGGAUAAUAUUUUGAACCGCAUGGUUCAAAAGUGAAAGACGGUCUUGCUGUCCCUUAUAGAUGGAUCCGCGCUGCAUUAGCUAGUUGGUAAGGUAACGGCUUACCAAGGCAACGAUGCAUAGCCGACCUGAGAGGAUGAUCGGCCACACUGGAACUGAGACACGGUCCAGACUCCUACGGGAGGCAGCAGUAGGGAAUCUUCCGCAAUGGGCGAAAGCCUGACGGAGCAACGCCGCGUGAGUGAUGAAGGUCUUCGGAUCGUAAAACUCUGUUAUUAGGGAAGAACAUAUGUGUAAGUAACUGUGCACAUCUUGACGGUACCUAAUGAGAAAGCCACGGCUAACUACGUG